rnacentral:rRNA from 1 species
ACUCCUACGGGAGGCAGCAGUGGGGAAUAUUGCGCAAUGGGCGAAAGCCUGACGCAGCAACGCCGCGUGCGGGAUGAAGGCCUUCGGGUUGUAAACCGCUUUCAGCAGGGAAGAAGCCGCAAGGUGACGGUACCUGCAGAAGAAGCACCGGCUAACUACGUGCCAGCAGCCGCGGUAAUAC